rnacentral:lncRNA from 1 species
GUCCCUAUCCAAAUGGUUCACUAAGUUUAUUGUAAACUAUAUAGUGAACAAUAACCACACACUCUCCAAAUCAUUUUAUGUGUAUAACACAAUUGAAAUAAGUUUCAAAAGAGAUAGUGGGAGUUUAGGGACCAUGACUAUUGUAGUCAAAAGGAGAAGUCAAAUGAAGAAAGCGAAAUAAACUCCAAGGGAACAAACUUUCUUUAUGAAAGGAUGGACAUUGGAAGGGGUAUUUGCAAGAAAUGUCUUGCAAGUGUCAAGAACACACCUUUCGAAGGUGUUGUAAAUUGUUCUUAAAAAGUUCAAAACAGUUGGUUCUUCUACUUGAAUGCUUGAUUCCAUAUUAGUAACUAUGUUUUACAAUCGUUGUAAAAGUGUGGCUAAUAAAAAGUAGAAGAUUAAUGAGAGAAGAGAAAGUACUUCACAUUCGGAAUGUGAAUCAAAUAUAGAUCUCUGCGAAAGCAGAUGGUACUUACUUUCUCAUAUGAACUACCAAAGAAAUUGGAAAAACCAAAGAUUGUCAUUACAUUCCAAUUUUAAGGAACUUAAUUCCAUCACUAUAAGGGAUGGAUGAAUGUUUUGUUUGACAAAACAUUGUUCUUUAUUAAUUAAUGAUUAGAUUAUUGUAAUCUAAUUGAUUGUCUCUAUAGUAGAGAUGAUAUGGUAGUGUUGACUGUUUAGAAUAUAACGAUGCUUAAAACCCAAAAGGUUGCAAGGUAGUGACUAAUCCCAACUGAGUUGUGAUACCUCUAAAACAUAAAUUACGAGUUGGUCAUAGAUGGAUGCUCUGGAUCGUUAGAUCCGGAUCCAAUACCUUCUUAUUAAAAUUGUAUAGAGGCGAAAUGUUCGAAUCUUUAUUCUUUUGGAAAGGAAGAAAGAAUCACAAAG